AACGAACGUUGGCGGCGUGGAUUAGGCAUGCAAGUCGAGCGGAAAGGCCCCUUCGGGGGCACUCGAGCGGCGAAAGGGGUAGUAACGCGUAGGCAACCUGCCCUGGGGCCUGGGAUAGCUACGGGAAACUGUAGGUAAUACCAGAUGAUGUUGCUGGGACGGGAGUUCCGGCAUCCAAAGGUGUGAUUCCGCCCCUGGAUGGGCCUGCGUCCUAUCAGCUUGUUGGUAGGGUAACGGCCUACCAAGGCUACGACGGGUAGGGGGUGUGAGAGCACGACCCCCACCAUUGGGACUGAGACACUGCCCAGACACCUACGGGUGGCUGCAGUCGAGAAUCUUCGGCAAUGGGCGAAAGCCUGACCGAGCGACGCCGCGUGCGGGAUGAAGGCCUUCGGGUUGUAAACCGCUGUCAGAGGGGAGGAAAUUCGCAGGGGCUAUCCCCUGUGAUUGACCUAUCCUUAGAGGAAGCACGGGCUAAGUUCGUGCCAGCAGCCGCGGUAA
rnacentral:rRNA from 1 species